UACGGGGGGGGUAAGCGUUGUUCGGAAUUACUGGGCGUAAAGGGCUCGUAGGCGGCCAACUAAGUCAGACGUGAAAUCCCUCAGCUUAACUGGGGAACUGCGUCUGAUACUGGAUGGCUUGGAUUCGGGAGAGGAUAGUGGAAUUCCCAGUGUAGAGGUGAAAUUCGUAGAUAUUGGGAAGAACACCAGUGGCGAAGGCGACUAUCUGGACCGACAUUGACGCUGAGGCGCGAAAGCGUGGGGAGCAAACAGG
rnacentral:rRNA from 1 species